AGAAAAUGAUAUAUAAAAUCUGGUCCAAAUACUCAGAUUAAUAAUUUGAGCUGUCUGUUGUUUUGUUUUGUUUUCAGACACCUUAAAGAUGUAAUCCUGCUCACCGCCAUAGUGCAGGUGCUUAGCACCAUCUCUUCUUAUUUCUGGUACCUUUGGUGGUUGGCCCCCGCUCGUGCCCUGCACCUGCUUUGGGUGAAUUUUCUGGGCCCCUGGUUUAUGGCAGAGAAUCCUUCAGCACCGGAGGAGGUGAAUGAGAAAAAGCAGAAAAGACAAGAGCGUAGACAGAUGAAGCGAUACUGAUGCUGCAGAGCGCACUGAGCAGUAUUUUUAUACACACACAAUCUAAUAUACAGGAGGAGGGCAACCCGUAAGUUAUUCAGGAGGAAAUUUUUGGUUAUUGAGUUAAAUCUGGUUGAAAUCAGAUCCAGUGAAAUCCUGUCAUUCAUGUUUGUUUUCUUUCUGCUUUCAUGCUGUAAUCUAAUGUUCUCCCUAAAUUAUGAAAUGAAAUGUUCCCUGUUUAGAUGAUGGCUCGCUCUAAAUCCCAUUUGUCUUCAUGACAAAAUGUGAGGGUUUAGCUUUUGCAGAAUGCCUUCCCCGCUACAUAUUUCUUUUUUUUUUUUUCUUCCACGCCAUUGUCCAAAACAGGUUUGUAACGUCAUAUCUUUUAUUAUAAUUUUCUCAGCUCCACACUGUGUCCGGAUGUUUCAGAAUCUAAAUCAAAGCCUUAAUGAGAAAAUGGGAACAACUUUGCAAUAAAAUUCUUCCUCUGUG